rnacentral:lncRNA from 1 species
GUGAAGAUGAAAAUACAUAUAAAUCUUUUAAUGGGAAAUGAGAAUAAAAGUAAAUUCCAAAAUUGAUUUUACUGGCAAUGGAGUGGAGGAACCAAAGGAAAAUGGAUUUAGUCAGGGUAAAGGAAAGAAGGAGGGAACAAGCCUAUCAACUAACAGAAGCCAACAGCCAAUUUAAAAGCUUGCAGCAUUAAGGGACCAAAAUUAAUGACCGCCUUUCCCAGGUAAUUAUUGUUCCAUUGUAUAUUUCACUGCCUUUAUAAUCUACAACUCCCUCCCUUUAAAUGGAGGCUACUGAAAUCAGUAAUAUGGUAGAUCCGUAACUUAGUUCUCAGUCAGUAAGUCACAGUGCCUUCAAGAAAGGAACUCCUUCAUUUAAGUAGUCAUCUAUGUUCUCUGUGAAAUGCAGUUACUCAUAAAUAUGUAACUGACUGGUGUAUUGUGUUGUGUAUCUUUCUGUGAACACCUGGUCCACUGUGAUAACCACUUAUUUCUGUUGCCACCUGUGAUAAUUAUAACUCUGUAGCUUUAGUGGAAGAGAUUUAUGCUACAAAACUGAAAGUCCACUGUUUAGAUGCAGACAGUGAUGACUGAGGAGGCAUAAAUAUACUUUCACAAAACAAAGACAAAAACAAAAGCCAGGAUAUGUGAAUUUUAAUCUGGAGCAGUGCAUGUGAGUACUCAGCUGUUAAAAUAAGCAAUCGAGAUUUAAAAAAUAUAAAAUCACAAAAAUCGGAAACAGGUUUCUAUUUAUUAAGUUAACUCUGUCCCAUUCUAUUAUGAUGAUGGGUUUUUCUUAAAAAAAAAAAAUCCAAUCUUUCUAAAACCUUAGUUUUACUCUAGAUUAUAUCGAUUUACAUUAUAUCCAUAAAACAACAUCAAAAACAAACAAAAAAACCACCCACAUUUUCUUUCUUAAGAAAGAGAAAUAGUGCUAAAUCUUUGCAUUCAUUUGGAAGGAACCUAUGGGUUCUUAAUUAUUCUGUAAAGCAAACAACCAGGUGCCCUUACAGCCUAUCCAUUUUGCUCUGUGCAUGUGUAAGCCUCUCUGACAAAUAAACAAAUAUACCCAGCUAGUUCUUUUUGUACU